rnacentral:rRNA from 1 species
CAGGCCUAACACAUGCAAGUCGAACGGGCAUCUUCGGAUGUCAGUGGCAGACGGGUGAGUAACACGUGGGAACGUACCCUUCGGUUCGGAAUAACUCAGGGAAACUUGAGCUAAUACCGGAUACGCCCUUCUGGGGAAAGGUUUACUGCCGAAGGAUCGGCCCGCGUCUGAUUAGCUUGUUGGUGGGGUAACGGCCUACCAAGGCGACGAUCAGUAGCUGGUCUGAGAGGAUGAUCAGCCACACUGGGACUGAGACACGGCCCAGACUCCUACGGGAGGCAGCAGCGGGGAAUAUUGGACAAUGGGCGCAAGCCUGAUCCAGCCAUGCCGCGUGAGUGAUGAAGGCCUUAGGGUUGUAAAGCUCUUUUGUCCGGGACGAUAAUGACGGUACCGGAAGAAUAAGCCCCGGCUAACUUCGUGCCAGCAGCCGCGGUAAU